rnacentral:tRNA from 1 species
UCCCUGGUGGUCCAGUGGUUAGAACUUUGAGCUCUCACUGCUGAGGGUGGUGGGUUCAAUCCCUGCUCAGGGAA